UACGAAGGGGGCUAGCGUUGUUCGGAAUUACUGGGCGUAAAGCGUGCGCAGGCGGCUUCUCAAGUCAGGGGUGAAAGCCCAGAGCCCAACUCUGGAACUGCCUUUGAGACUGAGAGGCUUGAGUACGGGAGAGGUGAGUGGAAUUCCCAGUGUAGAGGUGAAAUUCGUAGAUAUUGGGAAGAACACCGGUGGCGAAGGCGGCUCACUGGCCCGAAACUGACGCUCAUGCACGACAGCGUGGGGAUCAAACAGG
rnacentral:rRNA from 1 species